rnacentral:lncRNA from 12 species
UUUAACCAUGGAAGGACUUAGUCUGUAGGUCCAAGGCAUCAAUCAGGAAAAAAUAUCCCCCUCCUCAUAUGUCUAUAUUAUUUUCAGAUGAGUUAGAGAGAAGUACCUGGUGUGAUCUCCCUGGAAUGGCGAGAAAGUGAGGGCAACUGUAGUCAGCAGUUGGGGACUUUGCAGCAUGUGGAGCUUGGGAACAAUUAUAUAGAGCAUCAUGUGGAUCGCUAGGUCGGAACCAAGACCAGCAUUCCAGAAAACAUUCACGAUCUAAACGAGGCAAUACUUUAAAAAGGAGCCAAAUGUGAGGCCACAGUGCUUGGGAACUAAAGAAGAGAGUGCUUGAAAGGGCAUACAAGGAAGGCAAGUGGAGAGGAAUUCCCAGAAAAGACCCCUGAAGAGGUUUUCAUAUGCUGCCUUUGGCAUCUGGAAUUAUCCUGGGAGUGGAUGAAGGUUUGUUGCUGCGUGGGCACUCCUGAGAACAACAUUUGCAAAGACCAAACUGCCUGAGGGAUGGUGUGAGAAUCACACGCUUGACCACAUACUGUUCCAGCAAAGCUUGGCCGACGGUGUCUAAUCUCUGUUAAAACUGGUCACAGUUAGAAUUAAGGAUGGAGGUUUCCUAAGUCCACUUUCAACCCGAGGCUCCCUCGGAGUCUAACAAAUGUAACAUGCCUUCACCAUUCUUGCUUCUGAUGUCCUUUCCUUGCUUAGCUCUA